UGGAACUGUAAUUACAGAUGCUCGAGAGCCACCAUAUGGAUGCUGGCAAUCAAACCAGAACCAUCUGCAAGAGCAGCCAGUGUUCUUCAUCACCGAGCAAUCUCUCCAGCCCUCAAGCUCUUUACACCUAUCUUAAUUCCUUUAGGAGAAGCAGUUAAAGAAAUGGAUGCUUAACGUUUACUUACUUCACAUUUCAUAAUUUAAAAAUGUUAAACAGGAUGCUAACAAAACAUGGACCAUACAACAAUCGUAUUUCAGGCUUUGAGCCUUACACUGGAUCAAGGCAAAAGUCUGCUGCCUUGAAAAUGGGUGUGUGAAGAGCCCAGAGGGCCAGAACGUGAAGUUUCUAGAAGUAUCUAUGGAUUUGCAGAUAAACCUCAGGAUUGAGCAUAACUGGGACAUCAGAUUAUUAACUAAGUUCCAAGGCAAGGGUGCAAAAGGAAUUCUGUAAAUCUAUUUGCUUAACAGUCAAAUUAUAGAAAACUAGAGAAAGUUAUAAGCCCAAGUGAGAACACUGAUGAUCAGGUAUAGAUGUCACCGAGUUAAAACCACCCAACCCCUGGGCAGAUGCUUCCCUCCCCAUUUCUCUGGUGUAAAUGCUAAAUCACUAUUCAGGAGUCUGCAAGGUGACAUAUUUUAAAGUAAGAGCUUACAGAGUUCAGGUACCUGUAUAUCUACACCAAGACCUGGGCAGAGCUACACCAGGCCACCAACAUAGUUACACCAGGCCAUCACCACAGUUAAGCCAGGACAUCAUCACAGUGACACUGGGACUUCCUGACUCCCAAGUCCACAUUGAUCUUUCUAAAAAUUCCGGUUUCCCCUUUCAACACUUUAGAGGUCCCUCACACUUCAGAGAUUUCUAGGGCAUGGACAGGAUACACUGCACAUUUUAUUUCUUAGACAGCAAAGGUAAGUCAAACGAAAGCAAUGAUUGCCCCUGUGCUGUGGCCAAAUAAGUCAGUCCAUAAUUAAAAGUGUGUAACACAAUAUUUGCUAUUAAUAAUAUUAUCAGUUUGUUAAACAGAUUAUCAGAUUUUUUUUUUCAACAACACAGCUAGCUAAACACGACACUUUCUGUCCAGUCAAACUGGGUGUGUGUAUCUGGGCCAGAAUUAUGUACCCAUCCAAUGAACACUGUCACACUGAGAAAAGACAGUGUCACAGAAUCUGGAGACAUCUUCUUUUGAACAUGAUGUGCCAGGGACAACUUCACAUGGAAGUAAGGUUUAACACGUUUGCUGCAGCUCUCCACACAAGAGGUAUUGAGCAGCAGUGAAGGCCAGCCAGGUCGCCAUUGUUGAGGCACCGUCACAGGUCCAGUUCUCAUUUUGAUGAGUGAGAGCCGAGGGCACGUCAUACUCAGCACUACACAGAAAAACCUGCCCAUCUCCACCCCCAUUCUCACUGCCGUCUUCCUGCACAGGCAGAGCAGGAGGAGGCGGUGCUAGAUUGGAGGGACAAAUCCUCUAAGAUGGGGAGAUGACUGAAAUACAGCCGGGGGAAAAACGCUCAGAGCCUUGAUGCAGUGGGGUGCCCUGGACCCUGAUCUAAUGGAUCUGGAAGCCUCCUGCUGGAAGAGAAGUGUCUCAGGAUUACACAACUCAGAAGCCCAUUCCUACUAUCCUAAGCUCUUGUGCUUAAAACAGACUUUACUGUAAACGAGGUGACCACUGAGCUUUCUGUAAAUGCCUUUCUGUAAUCAUUAGAGAAAAAACAAACAAAAACUCAGCUUUUAAAAAGG